CUCGCGGGGAGAGUGGAGCUGCGCUCCCGCGACUGUUAUGUUUGUUUUCUGUAGGAAGAGGUCGCGUACUUGCUAAUAUGUCACCUUGAACUGUGUCUCGGGUUUCGCUGGCGAGUCUGGUCGCCCCUCUGGGGUGUAAAUUCCUCGAGGGCAGGCAGGCGGGUAGCGGAAAAGGCCACUGAGACUCGUAGUUCCAGACCGGAAACUCGUCCAGUGACCUUGGGCGAGUAAUUUAACUUCGCGGGGCUUCACUGUUUUCAUUCUUGGUUGGAGGAUAGGGUAGGUGAAUGGAUGUAGAAAAAAAGAAAUAGAUUUCCUUCACAAAUUUGUGGUGGGGAUAAAAGAGUAGAUUUUUAUUAAAGUGCUUUUUAAAAAGAUCAUUCCCAUUCAACCUAUUAAACAGUUACUGGGUGGCAGGCGCUGGGCACACAACGAUAGAACACUAUCCCAGCGAUCCAAGGACUAACUCUGAAGAACAAUUAAACAACUCUGAUAGAGAGACCUGACAAGAUACCAACAAGUAUGUAGAGGACAUCUAUUACUGAUGACUAUAUUGGGCAUUCUGAGAGCUACAGAAAAAGCAGAAGGCAGUCCCAGCUUCAGAAGGAUUUCUAAAAGGAAAAGACCUUGCCCUGGAGUGGGUUAUGGUCUUAUGGGGGAAACUAUCUCAGGGAGCUCUGAAUAAAUGGAACGUGAAAUAUAUGAAAACACAUUGACACUGUGGUGCACUAGUCCAGUUAUGGUGGUAGUCUCUCGGUAACCAAGUAUGACGAUUGUCUUUGUGUGUUUUUGUGCACAAAGACACCUGUGCAUGAAGAUUUAAGUGGAAAAGUCGAUGCACAGAGACAGUCCCACUCUCUCAGCGUUGGAAGCCUGGGUCCAGUGGCACGAAAAGUCGUUACACCUGGAGACUUCCUCAGCUGCAUUGGAUGUCCAUGUUGCCUUUUGUGCUCCAACAUGCCCUAAGCACUCCACAGUGCCUUGCUGCAUCGCCAUCUCAGCCGUUGAACCUUCUUGUUGGUUUCUUCCGCCUGUUCUGCUGAAACAGUCUUCACAUGCUGGGUGAGCAAAGCCCUAGUUCACCAGGGGUCCACGACUACCCGAUGGCUACCCUCACAAGGUUUAGCCGGCCUGUUGAAGCUGUUGCCCGAGGUGUGGCCGAUGCUGCAUACUAGCAGCUACUGGGAGCCACAAGUGAGAGCUGGGUGUCAGGUGGGGGUCAGAGGCUGGAGAGCUGCCCUAGGAGGGCACGACAAGCCCUCCAUACCAAAGAUAUAACUCCUCCCUGAGCACCCCAUACAUCCCAAGUCAUAGAAGUCACAAAAUGGAGGUAGGCAAGAAAUAUUAAGGCAAUAAUGGUAUCAGUUUUUACAGAUUGUCGCUGGUAAAGGCAAGCACCUUGGUGCCAGGGCAAAUAACUCUCCCAGCUACCUGGUGGUGCCUUGUACCUCUGAUCUUCUCACGCUUACCUUAUUUAUGUCUUGUGGGUAGAAGCAGCUAUACUAGCUAUAUUACCUAUCUCUUCCAGAGCCAAACCCACACCUCCUGUGGAGCCAGUCGCUGACUUUCCCUUAUCUCCAAUUCCCUCCACCUUUCUCCCUCUCCCCUACCUUUCCUGAUCUGUUGCCAAUUUCAUUUCCCCUUUAAUCCUUUUCUUUUUCCUUGCCAUCAAAAACUCUUGCUCCCUCUCUCCUCAUAUCUUUCUGCCAUGGAGUCUGGACCUCCUUGCUUGGGGGAUUGUUACAUGGAACUUGUUUACCAUAUCUCUUCUGGACACAGAGUUUUCUCUGCUAACCCCAGGCAUUUCUUUCUCAUCAUUUCCCUUGGCCACUGGGGUCACAAGGUGACAUUUUUGCUGUGAGUUGCAGCAAUAACCUGAAUGAAAGAUCCAGAUUCUGCCAGUUUGGGUUAGCUUCUGAUAAGGCUAGAUGAAGGUGUGGCCAUGGCAAAGAUUUGAGGAAACCUUAAUGAGUAAUGAUAGAAAAGAGAAUCAAUGUGCUCUCCAACACAUGAUCAAAAAGCCAAAUUAUAUUUUUUCCCUUGAGUCCUUUUUUAAAAAAAAAAAUAAAAAUGUUUUUCAUUCUUUGUUGGCUAUGAAAACAAAUUUAACAGAGAUUCUUGCAUAUAAUAUCCAUCACUCAACAAGCAACUAUUAAAUACUCACUACUUAUCAAGUACUGAGCGAGGCCCUGGGGAACUGAGAUAGAAUGAGACUUCUUAUUUCUUAGGAUUAAUGGAGACAGCUAGUAUAUGCAGGUUAUGUGCUAGGUAGGGAGAUGAGGACACCAACAGUUAGGGGGAAUCAGGGAAGGCCUUAUGUUGGAGGUGGUGCUUGAACUAUUCCUUUGUGGUAGAGACUUGAAGAGAGAGAGGUUUUGCAGGACAAGCCAAGAUACAAGAACCAAGGCUGGGGACCUGGCUGUCAAUCAAGAAGAAGGUUCCAAACUGAAUGUUCCCAGGAGACGCAGUUGGGGGAGCCUGACGAGAGGAGAGGAAUUGGGACCUUGGGCCUCACUCUCUCUCUGGGGAGGGGGGGUAUUGAACUGAGGAGGCUUGGCUUUUUGGGCUCUCUGACCAAAGGAAAACCUCUGCUCUCUCUUUGAGAUUUGACUGACCAAGAGUUGAAGCUGACCAAGGGAUAAACUGGAACUUUGAUUCUGUCUCUGGCUCUGGGAGUUGAAGUUGACCAGGGAGAAGAAGCUGAACUGAUCUUAUUUAGCUUCUGUCCCAGGCUGAAGGACCCUUGAGGGGGCUUCUGAAACUAGACUGAGAGACCUUGAUGGCUUUGUGAAGAAGAAAGAAGAUUUUAAACAGUUGUCCUCCAUCCAUCUCUCUAACUGUCCCUCUGUCACAGUUGUGACUGGACUACUUUCCCAAACUCUCAAAUUCUCCCUCACUUUAGAUUAGGGAUACCCUCAUCCCUCUUACCUCAGUUUCCCAUCCUAUUUCCCAAUAAACCCCCUGUCUUGAAAAGGAAAAGAAAA